GGAUGUGAGGGCGAUCUGGCUGCGACAUCUGUCACCCCAUUGAUCGCUAGGGUUGAUCGGCUGAUCUGGCUGGCUAGGCGGGUGUCCCCUUCCUCCCUCACUGCUCCAUGUGCGUCCCUCCUGAAGCUGCGCGCUUGAUUGAAGAGGACGACCUUCCCCACUGGAGGAGGACUGGUCUUCGGUCAAGGGCAUACAAGUAGCUGAGCUCCCCUGCUAGAACCUCCAAGAAGCUCUCAAGGUCCAUUCGCAGAAGCAGCUCCUGGCUUCAGCCUGGCCGAGCUCCGGCCAUUGUG
rnacentral:snRNA from 1 species